UAUACCCUUCUGCAGAAGUAAAAUGUGUUGUCCAGACUUCUUACUUUAUAUUUAAGUGCAUUCUUUCCAUCACCAACAAUUUGAGUCUGGGGGUUUAUUUCCAACAAUUUUGGUGCCCAACAGUGAGACCUGAGGGUCUCUGAGAUGUGGAACUCCUUCCUGGAGGAAACACAUUCCACAUAGCCUCAUUGCCAUGGCCUCCAGGACAAGAAACCAAGUCUAAGACCACCAGACCCAGACAAGAUCUAUCAGCAACCUUAAAAGGGUCCCAGAGGCAAGAAACCAUGGUAAUCAGGAGGCUUCAUGCAUGAACCAAGGUAAAACAAUGAACAUUCCAAAAGGCACCUUAUAAGUUAUUUACAAUACCCUCCACAGGCAAGAAGUUGUAAGAAUGAUGGACCUCAUUUUUAACAAGAGCAAAUAAGUCAUGUCCAUGUUUUAUGACUUACUCAUGCUACAGAUCAGUAACAACCAAGGAAGCAAAUUGGCAGUCACAUAACUACUUGCAGAUCCUGAAAAUUCCAAACCCAGUGGCAAGCAUAGUAAUAAAUCACUGAGAAUUAAAAACAUUUUUCCUUCAAAUAUUCCCAAAAUGGAAUUUUCCUUAAAUAAAAUCAUUAUUUUCUGAGAGAAAAAUUGGACUGAAGAAAAAAGUUUUGUUUCAGAUAACAGUUUUAUUUCUGUAUGUAUGUUUUUCAAAUUAUCUAUGUAUAUUUUCAUUCAUUUAAAUAGGCAAUGUGUUCACUAAUAAAACGGAAUCGUAAAGCACAAAAUGUAUAUAGUAAACAUGUCUUCACCAUACCCCUUGUCUCCUAUUUUUAUCCAGAGCCAAUCAGUUGCUGGUUUCUUCACUGAUAAGAUGUUUUUUCUAUCUAUACAUACAUUUUCCUUUGUUUGAAGUACUCAAAUACUUUUGAGUUUGAGCUCAAAGGAUCCAGCUGCUAAAAGCAGGGUGACAUAAGAAUAAUAUGUGUAUUCCUUUUCAGAGAAAAUCUUUAAUCUGAGACAGUUAUCUUGCUUUAAAAAAGAAGCAGUUUUUUUCAGCCAGAGCUGGCAGUACAUGCAUGGAACACAUAAAUAUUUAAAGAAACAGCAAAAGCUGUAAAGUAAAAAUAAUGAUAUUGGCUGAACUCACAUACUAUAUCUUAUGUAUAAUAUUAGGUUCUUGUUUCAAAAUUAUUCUGGAAAGUUUUUAUAGAGGCC
rnacentral:lncRNA from 1 species